AAGACCAACAAUCACCCAAGUUACAAAAAAUACUUGUUCAAUUACUUGACUGUCAAUUUACAACGCAAACUUUUAUUUAAAAAGCUAAUUCUUGCUAUUCUGUUUCAUAAAUUAUGCUCAGGUUGGUGGUAGCUAAGAAUACAGUGAAAUCUCAGUUUAAGAUAUCUUUAGACACCAGUGUAUUCGAACAUCAAACUGAGGAAAACCUUAAAUUGAGAUGAUUUGAGUUUACUAGCUUGGGGGACAUUAAAAUGGAACAUUAAAUGGGGGAAAUCCUUCUACAGAGGAAUAUUACAUGUGGGUUCCAUUACUGCAGUAAAAACUAUGAUUUCUCUGAUGGGCCAUGUGGUGGAUGGCUGUAGAAAGCAGGUUUGAUUCCUGGCAGAAUGAAGAGACUUUUCUGUCCUUCACAGUCCUCAUCAGCUCCGGCGUCCACCCAACCUCCUAACAAAUGGACACCGGAUGCUCUGCCCCCAUCAUUACAAUGGCCAGUGCCUAGGUUAAGAAUUUGUGGACUUACAGCUCUACUCCCCACUAAGUCUUCACAGUAUUUUGCUUAGUUAACUGAGCCCAAGAAUAAUUUAUUGAGUAUUGAUCUACAGAAAAGGUAAAAAGGUUAAGUUGUCCCUGUUCUUAACUGAUUACGCACUAUGCCAUGAAGACAUAUGGGGGAGUGGAUGUAUAAAACCAUGUCUUCUUGAGAUUCCCUCUAGUAGGAGGUGGGUGGUCAGCUUCACAGCUUGGGGAAAGAGCUCCUGGUACCCACUGGGUAGGAGGCUAGGCAAGUCCUAGAGCUGGUCUGGACGACAUGGAGAAACCAAAUUUCUUGCCCCCACAGGGACUUACUGGCAGGUAGGUGCAAACCGUGGGUCAGCAUGCAGGUCCAAGGCAGUGCUGGUGCAGGCAGAAUUCACUGCCGAUGAGUGCCGUGGGGAAGAUGGGACUAAGUGCAUUGGCAGGGCAUGAUGUUGUUGGUGGCAGCGUGUCACCCUUGUUGGUGAGCUCCGCAGGAACACUGCUGGGUGGUUAGAAUGUCUCACAGCAUAAGCAUCUUCAGUCCACACUGGGCCACAUUCAUGAUAGCACAAUGGUCUCAGUGGAAUGCUGCAUACAGCAGUGAUGAUGUGAUAUACUCUGGUGUUCCUUCUAUAUCAGAAGCUUGCUUGG